GCUGGGCAUGGUGGUGCGCGCCUGUAAUCCUCGAUACUCAGGAGGCUGAGGCAGGAGAAUUGCUUGAGCCCGGGAGGCAGAGGUUGCAGUGAGCCAAGAUCAUGCCACUGCAUUCCAGCCUGGGCGACAAAGCAAGACUCUGUUUCAA
rnacentral:SRP_RNA from 1 species